GACGAACGCUGGCGGCGUGCCUAAUACAUGCAAGUUGAGCGCUGAAGGUUGGUACUUGUACCAACUGGAUGAGCAGCGAACGGGUGAGUACGCGUGGGGAAUCUGCCUUUGAGCGGGGGACAACAUUUGGAAACGAAUGCUAAUACCGCAUAAAAACUUUAAACACAAGUUUUAAGUUUGAAAGAUGCAAUUGCAUCACUCAAAGAUGAUCCCGCGUUGUAUUAGCUAGUUGGUGAGGUAAAGGCUCACCAAGGCGAUGAUACAUAGCCGACCUGAGAGGGUGAUCGGCCACAUUGGGACUGAGACACGGCCCAAACUCCUACGGGAGGCAGCAGUAGGGAAUCUUCGGCAAUGGACGAAAGUCUGACCGAGCAACGCCGCGUGAGUGAAGAAGGUUUUCGGAUCGUAAAACUCUGUUGGUAGAGAAGAACGUUGGUGAGAGUGGAAAGCUCAUCAAGUGACGGUAACUACCCAGAAAGGGACGGCUAACUACGUG
rnacentral:rRNA from 1 species